ACCGCAUUAAAGUCUCCCAUCAAAAGAGACUGAUUAUUCAGACUACUAGCAUACUGCUUAAUACAACAAAAAUGAUCUCUCAUAGUAGAUUCUUCACUAUUAAUAUGCAUAAACAAGAUAUCAAAAUCCUUCCUUUUGCUUCCAUAAAAAAUAGAGGUAUAGAUCAAAAAAAUUGUAAUCUUCACAAUAGUGACAUGACAACCAAAUCGCCAGGCUAAACAAAGACUACCUGAUAAACCAC
rnacentral:lncRNA from 1 species